CAAAAAACCAACAAAUUGGGUCAAAUCCUGUUAGUUUUAUACUCGGACGAUCGUAACAAAGGAAAUUGUGUUAGCGGAGUGCGUCAUACUGUACCGAAGGAAUUCUCGAAGAGAGGGACGAAAAAUGGAAAUAUGCCGUUCUUUACUGGCGACUCAACGAACCGGCUUAUCGCAUAUUUGUAUAUACCAAAAAUUGCUCAAAUUAGCAUAAAAAGAAAUGUAGUUCUCUCAAUGGCAUGUCGGUAGAGAAAUGAUAGAUGUAAUUGAAAAAUAACUUUCCAAAAAAUGUUCUAUUGUAUUUUUGAAAUUUACUUA